GACGAACGCUGGCGGCGUGCUUAACACAUGCAAGUCGAACGGAAAGGCCCUGCUUGCAGGGUACUCGAGUGGCGAACGGGUGAGUAACACGUGGGUGAUCUGCCCUGCACUUCGGGAUAAGCCUGGUAAACUGGGUCUAAUACCGGAUAGGAGCCAUUUUUAGUGUGAUGGUUGGAAAGUUUUUUCGGUGUAGGAUGAGCUCGCGGCCUAUCAGCUUGUUGGUGGGGUAAUGGCCUACCAAGGCGGCGACGGGUAGCCGGCCUGAGAGGGUGGACGGCCACAUUGGGACUGAGAUACGGCCCAGACUCCUACGGGAGGCAGAAGGGGGGAAUAUUGCACAAUGGGCGCAAGCCUGAUGCAGCGACGCCGCGUGGGGGAUGACGGCCUUCGGGUUGUAAACUCCUUUCGCUAGGGACGAAGCUUUUUGUGACGGUACCUAGAUAAGAAGCACCGGCUAACUACGUG
rnacentral:rRNA from 1 species